UACUCCCCCUCUCAGAAGCCAUUUUGGACUCAGUUCAGUUUCUUGCAUGUGAAUAUCGGACCCUGUCCUCAGCCAUUCACCACUACACAGUAGAAAAGGUUAACGCGCACCGCGGAGCGAGAAAAUUGUUCUUUGAAACAUCGAGUUUAUUUUACCUUGUCGAUUUUACAUCCUGGAUUCGACCGACCCUUUCCCAAUGGAUUUGUUUAUAUUUAAAACUUGUUUUUAGCCCGUGCAAUUUUGUUGCAUUGGGGGGCUGUACACACAAAAGCAACGCAAACUCUUGGUGCGGUGGACAUCGAAGGCCUUGGGACAUUUGGCUCGUUGUGUUGUGCUAUCAUCUUUUUAAAUGUUCGCAAAGGAAAAUAGGUUAAAAAGGAGAACAUCUGGUGUGUUUCUUUUUAAUUAAAGGAAUAUGUUUGCUUCCUGUCUGACUUUUGCACUUCUGGGAACUUUUUGUGCAGGACCAAGUCAUGGAGAGGUGGACACACAGGAGUGCUUGUUCUAUAACAUCAACUAUGAGAUUGAGAAGACCAACCAGAGUGGGGUAGAGCGCUGCGAGGGUGAGAAGGACAAGCGGUCGCACUGCUACGCCUCAUGGCGAAACAACUCGGGUACCAUAGAGCUGGUGAAGAAGGGCUGCUGGCUGGAUGACUUCAACUGCUAUGACAGGCAAGAGUGUGUGGCGACAGAGGAGAAUCCUCAGGUGUUCUUCUGUUGCUGCGAGGGGAACUUCUGCAACGAGAGGUUCACUCACCUGCCUGAUAUCAACGGACCAUUGAUCAAGUCGCCUCCCCCCAUGCCCACACUACUCAAUGUGCUGGUCUACUCACUGCUGCCCAUCACCAUGCUCUCCAUGGCCCUGCUGCUGGCCUUCUGGAUGUACCGCCACCGCAAGCCACCCUAUGGCCAUGUGGACAUCAAUGAGGAUCCUGGCCUUGUUCUCCCUCCCUCCCCCCUGGUAGGUCUCAAACCCCUGCAGUUGCUGGAGAUUAAGGCCAGGGGGCGCUUUGGCUGUGUGUGGAAGGCCCAGAUGAUGAACGACUACGUGGCUGUCAAGGUCUUUCCCAUUCAGGAUAAACAGUCGUGGACGAACGAGCGGGACGUGUUCCUAACACCGGGGAUGAAGCACGAGAACCUGCUGCGCUACAUCGCUGCCGAGAAGCGCGGGACCAACCUGGAGAUGGAGCUGUGGCUCAUCUCUGAGUUCCACGAGAGGGGCUCCCUGACGGACUAUCUGAAAGGGAAUGCAAUCAGCUGGACUGAGCUGUGCCACAUCGCUGAGACCAUGGCCUGCGGGCUGGCCUACCUGCACGAAGACGUGCCUCGCUACAAAGGAGAGGGACCCAAACCGGCCAUUGCUCACAGGGACUUCAAGAGUAAGAAUGUGAUGCUGCGGACGGACCUGACGGCCAUCAUCGGGGACUUUGGGCUGGCGGUGCGGUUCGAGCCGGGCAAGCCCCCAGGGGACACUCACGGCCAGGUGGGUACCAGGCGCUACAUGGCGCCGGAGGUCCUGGAAGGUGCCAUCAACUUCCAGCGGGACGCCUUUCUCAGGAUAGACAUGUACGCCAUGGGCCUGGUGCUGUGGGAGCUGGUGUCGCGCUGCAAGGCGGCCGACGGCCCAGUGGAUGAGUACAUGCUGCCGUUUGAGGAGGAGAUCGGCCAGCACCCGUCCCUGGAGGACUUACAGGAGGUGGUGGUCCACAAAAAGAUGAGACCGGUCUUCAAGGACUGCUGGCUCAAACACGCUGUCCGUGGAUAGGUCAGGGAAGAACAUGAUCUCUUGGGUACAUCACCUUGCCCAUACACAGACCUGGCUUUCUGCAUCACUUGGAGUUUGUCUUGAAAGUUGAGAAACUUAAUGAUAAGGACUCUGAGAGGGGUGGUUUCUCGGGCCUGUAGGAGCCUGAAGCGAAGGGCUCUUUCAAAUGCGCAAGGCGUCCGGAAAGUUGUCCGGCCCCAAUGCCUCGGGUCUGGAGUCUAUGUGUGAGACGAUAGAGGAGUGCUGGGACCAUGACGCGGAGGCGCGCCUCUCUGCUGGCUGCGUGGAGGAGCGCAUCUCGCAGAUCCGCCGGCUGACCAGCCCCCCUACCUCGGACUGCCUGGUCUCCAUGGUGACCUCUGUCACCAACGUGGACUUGCCACCCAAAGAGUCCAGUAUCUGAGUCUCAACCCGACCACCACCAACCCUCCCAACGCAGAGCGGCAAGCAAGCAUACAAAACAACCACUCGUCUUCUUCUUAAGCCUCAGCGGAUCUCAGAAAAAAAACAUGAAUGCAGCUGCUAUUUUAUCCUGAAUUUUUUUAAUGAUUAAUUAUUAUUAUUUUUAUUUCAUUUCCGAUCGGAUCACUAUUACCAGCACACUUCUUCUAUACUGUUUUUUUUUUUAUCAAUACAGGACAAAAAAAGCUAAAUGGACAUCUCAAAAGCGCAUUCAGGUGCCGACUUAUGAAUGCUGACAAGGUGCAGGUACCUCAGAUGUUUUCAGCUCUCAGUAGUUUCUUUGGGUUUAGUUUAUUCCUCUUUUUCUGUCUUCUGGACAGGAUUGCCUGUGACAGAACCAACUCACCCACCAACCAAGCAACCAUCUACCACGUUGGACAAUACAACAAUGCUGCAUAAACCUUGUAGGAACAUUAAGACUGUUACACACAACUAACCUUCCUCAAGGGAUUUUAGUUUUCAGAAAGCGUUUCCUUUCCGACAGCGUGUCCCAUACAAACCUUCGGAACUAACGGGUGUCUCUAGAACACAGGGCAAAGUGGAAAACAACAGGACUCAUUUCUUUUAGGUUUUUUCUGUGUUCAGACUGGUGACUAUGGAUGGGGUUGGCUACAGCAUUCUUAUGAGUGCAUGUUGAAAAGUUCAAAAGGAAAUGGCUUACAUUCAGAGAUUGGACAUCACAUCAUCUGGAUAGUGCGUUUGGUAUGGAACUACUUCUCAGGUAACCAGUCUCAAGGGGCAGGAGAUGUUGAUUUGAGGUGAUAUCGCAACGCGUCCCGUAAAGUAGGGCAAGAGCCACAACUGCCGCCCUUGAGUGGUCGGAGGGGGCAAACUUUAGUGGGAGGGGCUUUUCUGACUUGGUUCAGAGCCUUUUUAUCUGAGAUCAAAAUGGAGUCUAAACACAGAACGUGCCCAAACAACCACAAAAAAACACAAUCGGUGCAAGACCCUGGGGAAGAUAUGUAUGCAUUUUGGGUGAGUGUGUGUUUGCGUGUGACUACUUGUGCAGUGAGAGUGACUGUGUGUGUGUGUAGCGGAGAGGGAUGGAGAUUAAGACCAUAAAGUUUCAGCCGUCUAAACAUCUGAAGAUAAGUUAAAUGUAUUUUUGUUCAGUUUUUUUUCUCCUCCUUUAUUUCAGUCAGUAGAUUGGACAUUGGGAGAUAAGGACCUAGACUCUUCUCCACAGAGGCCCAUCCUAGGCCUCAGCAAAAGCUUAUAUCCUUCACUAGUGUUGAGCGGGAGGGAAUACAGUUGAACCAUCACUGCCUGGUCCCUUUGUUAUUUGCCUCUUUCGCACAGGGACCAAACGUAGUUUGUACCGGGUAGGUCCUGCAUUGUAGAACCGUUUUUGACAGGGCACCGAGCGUAACAAGCGGUUUAAACUUAACUUCAUUACGAUUAGUUACACGUUCUCAUUCAUUAGAAGGAAAAAAAAGAAACUGAAAACGAACAUGGAACUUUUUUUGUCUUAAAAGUGGCACGCAAGAAACCACAUUUCCGUAUGCCAUAAUGUAACAGUGAAUGUCCACAAUGCUGCUGUUUCAACUCAAAGAUGAAUAUAUUUCUGUGUUCCUUUUUUUCUGUGCAUUACACGUGCAACUCUCAGUAGUAAAGGAAACAUGCAUAAAACAGCAAAAGUCAUGUCUACCAACGUACAAGGCUUCCGAGGUGAACAAUAAAAUCUAGUAGAGAUAAAACAUAAAACGAAACGCAAAAAAAACAAAAAACAUUAAUGAACCACAGACCACCUCAAACCAGAAAUACCUCAGAUUUUUCUACGUGUAUGAGUUCUGUUAUAUAUUUUGUUAGUUGUGUUGACUUGUGUUAAGUAUAUUUUAAUGUGACUUUUUUUGGCUUAUAUGAUUAGGGAGUUUUGGAAAAAUAGUGCUACCGCAACAUGUUGUAUAAAUGAAAGAAAAUAGUGUAAAUAUCUGUAUACAGUUGUAGUAUUCUACCAAUAUAUGACACCUAGGCAUUAUUCAUGAUUUGUGCUGGCUCCCCCCCUCUCCGUUACCUAAAGGGACAUUGAACCUUGUAUUUGAUUUUCCUCCCAGAAAAACAAAUCUCCACCCACCACCACCACCGUGUCUCACCUGUAAUAUUUUUGCAUACCCCAGGAUAUACCUUGGGUUUGUCAUUGCUUUUAAAAUGUAUUUUAAUGACUUAUCCCAUUCCUCUAUAAAAAAAGAGAGCAUUUAUACAGAAAAGACAAAUUGAGAACUAAGAGAUACCAUUGAAUUUCCUUAUACAAAGCAACGCAUCUCCAAAUUAGUUUCUCGAUUUAUAGCGUUCUAACUUUUUAAAGCAUAGUCAUAUUUUUAUGAAAUUGUUCUCAAUUGAUGAUUGAUUUGAUAGCGCCUUUGGGGGGGGGGGGGGGUAGUAGUGUCCCUGGAUUCUCAUCCCUUCAUCUCCUUUCCUCACACAUUGACUGACGAGACACCACGGCGGCGGCUUCAGCACCGUAGCACUACAUCCUACAGACGAGAGCUUUAAGUUGUAUUCACGGUGUCAUACGUUCUUUUAAGGUUCUACAUCAUUUACCAGUGUUCCGCAUGUGUGUAAGUGGAACCAUGUGCGCAGAGUCUUUCGGGGUGUUUUAGGGAUACCCAUGGAGAAGUGAGAGCAUUGAGACACUCAUGACUUCAAUCUCUUGUCAUCAUGAACCCCAGUGAUUGAUGUGGGCCUGCAGAUCGCUGUGAUCCAGCUGCUUUGAGUAGGAAAACCACAGCUAGCUUUAUUUGAGCUUUUGGGCUUAGGAAACUUGAACAUGUGUUUAGGUCUGUUAAGAGACUACUUUUCAAGGAGCCCCACUUUCUCUGUAAUAUUUGCCAAGAGGGUAAGAAAAUAAUUUCUCAUUCUGCCAAGGUAGAGCAUGCUUGUUUAGCACUUUUUAGUUUCUCUGGAUUGACUCCCCACCAUUUUAUCAUUAACCAGAAUGGAGGUAUUCUUGCUUUGAUUUCAAUGGCCUGUUAGCAAAUCGGGGUUAUAUUUGUGUCAAAUUAUCAGGUUAGUAUUUGAUGUCUAUCUUUUCAGGAUGCUUAUUGUAACACUAUGGUUUCCAGUAUUUCUGCUAUAAAUGUAAUGGGAUCAAGAAAUCAAGAAAUUACAAGUUUGGAUAUAAAUGUAGCAAGCAAUAUCUACAGCAAUAGUCCUACAUAUUGUUUCUGGUAUGACAGAAUAACCUCAUAGGUACUGCGAUAGGCCCUUGAGCUAGCGACCAACCAAAACAUCUUGUUCAAGAUGCGCUUUGUUGUCAAGAGGAAGGUUGGUGGGUUUGCUGAUCACCAAGUCAUGGUCAUAAUGCUUGUUGAGUUAUGAUAGGUUUACCUUCAGUUAUAGACCUUUGACCAUGAAAAACAUGUAGCCAAAUCCUUGCACCUAAGUCUGAAAGAAGGGGAACCAAAGUCUUUCUUUUUUUCUAUAUUUGAGAGAAUUGUAAUGUGUCCCCACUCUCACUUUCUGUUUGUGGAACAGCGGAGACAAAAUCCUUCUGUCCUAUGAUCCUUUGACUUUGAUGAUUUGAGACGCUAGACAAAAUAAUCUGACAUUUUUUUCCUUGCUUUGACAUUUUUGCCACCUUUUCCAGAGCGAAGUGGAUUAAUUUGAUGGGGAGGGAGUGUCAGUGCAGGGAGUAAGGUCUACAAAAGUGAAUUGUUAGACUUCCAAAUUAAAAGCUCUAAAGUUUCUUUCCAAAUAGCAUUACACUCAGCAUUACAUUUGUCGUGCGGUCUUAAGGGUUUAAUUAUUUCAGUUUUGGGGGGGUCACUGUUAUGAUGAAUUAUGCAAUACAAAUUGGUGGUUUUAAAGUUUUAGCCACAAUGGGAAAGGCAAGUAUUACUCUGGUCUUUCAUCAUUGUCUGGGUUUUUACUCUGGUGCCAUUUGAAUGAUUCUACCGUCACUCUAGUUUAGUCUUAUCUGAGAGCAGAGGGAUGGGAGCUGGACUUAACACAUCUUUCCAAAUGAAUAUUUUAGCUUUAGUACAUUGGACAUAGGGUGAAAUCCGUGAUCUAUUAUUACCAAUACUCAAAUUUGGGUUCAUGAUGACAAAGCUGAAGUCUUGGAAUACAAACAGCAUGUAAUAUCAGUAACAAUGCUAUUGCUGGAGCUUUGGACUAAAAUCCUGAGGUGUUCUGAUGUUGUGCCUUUUAUUUUCCUCAUCGUCGUUGCUGAAGCCACUGCUGCGGCGCCCCUCUUUGUUUGUUUGUUUGUUAUUAGUACCUGACAAAAAAAUGCUAUAUAUAUUAAUCUAGAUAUUUUAAUAUAUAUAUAUUAAUAUAUAUUAAUCUAGAUAUUUUAAUAUAUAUAUUAAUCUAUAUAUACAUUUUAAUAUAGAUAUUAAAAUAUAUAUAUUAUAUAUAUAUAUAGAUUAAUCUAAAUAUAUAUUAAAUAUAUAAAUAUAUAUUAAUCUAAAUAUAGAUUAAUAUAUAUAUAGAUUAAUCUAAAUAUAUAGAUUUAUAUAUAUAUAUAUAUAUUAUAUCUAUAUAUAUAGAUUAAUCUAAAUAUAUCUUAAGUGACCAGCUGUAAUUCUGGAUGCAGUCUUAGAUCCAGGUUGUUCAGGAACCAAUUACCUCAGACCUCACGUGAAACAGUGUUGCUAGCUGGAUAGUCGUCUACUACAGAAAAAUGAUGUACACUUUCGUCAUACCAACAGGAAACCUCGUUUGUACUGGUGUAACAUGUAUGAUCCACCCCUUGACAAUGUGAAAAUCCUCUUCCUUUCCGAGCUUCUCGCCUCUAGUUUUCAACAGCUAAGAAAUGGUAUUGUAUGGAAAACCAUGUUCAAGUGCUUCCUCUGCUACUUUCCCAGCUGAAAUUGUUAGUGUACACUGGUUUGACAGCUCACUCUGUCAUCUGACAGAACUGAAGAAAAAAAAACAUUUAAAUUAGCUGAGAUUUCAUUAUAGUCCUGUCUACCUCACUAAAAAAGCCCCAACAACACUAAUUACCAUUGUACCCUUAGAUUGGUCAUCAAUCCCUCUUAUACGUCUACUUCUUUACCCAACUCUCUGAGCAUCUUUUAGUGUUAUUACAUUACUUAUUUACUGUGCAUGGACAGUCACUCAGGCCAUGUGAACAUUACCUCGUUUUCCAAGAGAUCAGUGUUCAGGUCCUGUGUCAAACAUCAGCAGCGAGCUGUGAGCCCGGGCAAUCGACUUACCCUCCUUAAGUAUUAAGAUCUUCCCCAGCAGGGGAGAACUAUUGAUUCUAAAUGCCAAUGACUAAACGCUAAGAACGUCCAAUAUCUUUGUAGCCUCUGGGUUAGUAGAGCUUGCUGCUUUAAAAAGCCACUUCCAUACAGUGCCAGUUUCUUUCGCUCCUUUAAAACCAGGUGGAAUUUGCUGUUGGUAAACAAUGUCAACAUGGAAUGUUUUUUGUUCCUCAUAAGAGCUCAUCAGUGGCUCUUUGCACAUGGAAGUGUUCAAACAAAUCCGAAAAACUAUUCCACUGCAAAGAACUGAUUCACAAUGUCUUUCUUCCAAGACCCACCAAAACAAGGGUGCAGGAUUUGGCAAACGGGUCAAGGGGGGUUUCUUGUUUUGUCAAGGGGUCUUAUUUAAAAGUGAUGUUUCUAUACCAGGAUACGUGAAAUGUAAAUGUUGUAGGUUAUGUUUCACUAUUGUAGCUAAAUUGUAGAACAGAGAUGGCUUGUACUACUGAUUUUAACAUAAAUAUACUCAAAUAAAUCUGUAUAAGAUAAAAUGUAUACGGAGAGUUGAUUGUUGCUGUAAACCCUCUUUUGGAUUGAAGAAUAUGUUUCAAAGUUUUAUGUAUAUGAAAUGCCCUGGAAAAACCCAACAUCCAUUGUAUUGCCGUAAUGACAUGAGGACUUUUUGAACGAUCAGUGUAACAUAGUUCUUUAAUUUGCAGUGGAUCAUUGUUCCUUUUUACUGUGGUAAUUUUAGAACUCAUUAUCCAAGUAGAUUUGCCUAGUUGUUGGGGUGUGGCUGUUUCUACUCUGCACUUGGUGCCAGAAUAAACCAGUAUGAAUGUAGUAUUUGCCCAGUGUGAAACAACUACACCCUGACUGUUAGAGAAAAAAUACUAGAAUGGAUUAUUUCAAUUGUAUCUUUUUGUAUAUGAAAGUAAACAAUAAAAUACUGUUAAAGCA